AGCCUGGAUGGGAAAAUAUUGCUUUUUUUUUUUUUUCCUCACUUCACUGGGCUGAUGGCACUCUUGAUUUUUUUUGUCAGUGUCCUGUUUUGCUAAUGAGCUGCAUUUCCUGUUUCACAAACCAGCCUGAGAGCAUCAUGCCUGUCCGUUCUCUUGGUUUCACCAUCAAGGAAGCUAAAACUGACCUGGCACAAAGGAGGGGGCAUGUGGAUAAGAGGGAAUUGAAAUUUAGGUCCCUCUAACUGCGUUUCCAUGUGGCUGUCGUGGGAAAACUGCACCACUUCAGGAGAAGGAAGGGAGAGGUGGAAGGGAGAUCAACAGAAACCAGAAACCAACAUGGAUAACUGGCUCAGCUGCGUGUCCAUGCCUUCUGGCAGCCCAUCUCCCCUGGCCCCUUGUCGGAGUGACUUACAACAGCAAGACUGAAGACUGAUCCUAGGAGGUGGCAGAGGGCUGUUCAGUUCACGUUGGACCUAUGCUCUGCCAGCACUGCAGGUGAGAGAGUUCUUUAUCAGUCAGACACCCCUAGGUAGGUCCAUCAACUCCAUAAGAAAUUAAAGAUGAAGCAAAAGUUAAAAUUCUUGUAUGUAGUUAAGAUACGUUUUCCUGAAGGAUCAUUCAUCUUUUCAGUUCUUUUUGGUUUGUGCUGUUCUUGGAUUACCAACAGCCUAUAUAAAUGAGACUUAUUCAGUUGCUCUUAGUUUUUCAAAAUGUUUUAAGUUUCUUGUGGGACUGGGAAUUAGAAAUUGAAAACUAGGCACUUUGAAGCUUGAAGUUCUAGUCCAUUCUGGGAGGGCAAUGAAUGACGGCCAUCUGAUGGUUCUUCGUUUGACCCCUAUGAAACAAAUCUGGUGAUUCAGUCCAGUUUACUGUGAACACGUUCGAACCUCACAUUGCCUGCCUCCAGUGGCAGUAUUAGCCCCUCUUAUUGAUAAGCUUGGCUGAGGCCGUAUAGAUUGAAUGGACUGUGCACGUGGAAUUCUCUCGCUAACCAGCAGAAAGUUCUCCCAGGUACAUUGCUAGGCUUCCAUUUGAAAAACUUGCACUGCUUUCCAU
rnacentral:lncRNA from 1 species